rfam:Gossypium hirsutum cultivar TM-1 chromosome 11, whole genome shotgun sequence
AAUCAAUGCAAUAGACAUUUCUGAAUAAAAUCUUUAAACUGUUCCUAAGCCUCAUAUAACAUUUCCUCCUCCAAUUGCCGAAAAGAUGUGUUGUCAUUUCUAAGCUU